rnacentral:rRNA from 1 species
UAGGGAAUCUUCCACAAUGGACGGAAGUCUGAUGGAGCAACGCCGCGUGAGUGAAGAAGGGUUUCGGCUCGUAAAACUCUGUUGUUAAAGAAGAACAUAUCUGAGAGUAACUGUUCAGGUAUUGACGGUAUUUAACCAGAAAGCCACGGCUAACUACGUGCCAGCAG